AAUAAGUGGAAACCGAGAGAGCAAACUAAUGCUUUUCGAAAUCCUUAAGGACAUCUUCAAAAGAUAAGAGAAUGGGCUCUUUGAAGUGAAGUCCAAAGUGUCUCACCUUUGCAAUAUAUGACCAAGGAAUACCAUCAUUAUUUAAAGCUUCUAUCACAAGAAUAUAAAGUCGAGGACCUGAGUGGUCGUUGAUCAUAUCGGACAGACCGUUCACCACACUCUUGUAAAUGAAAGAAUUUCCACUCCUCUUGUUAUGUUGUUCCACUGCAGACCAUCCAGCAUAUUGCACUUUUUCGUCACUGACAUCCUUAAUAGGAUUUGAUGGCAAAACG